CAACAAAAAAUACGAGGUUCAACAUGAAACAAAGAUUUAGACAAAACUAAAACAAUAUAAAGAAUGUCUCCAUCAAGGACAAAAGAUGGUAUAUGAUUAAUCAAAAAAUAUACUGUAGAGACUGCAUCAGUCCAAAAAUAUUUAGGAACCUUUAUUUGGAAAAGAAGAGCUCUAGCUACUUCAAGAAAAUGCCGAUUUUUCCUUUUGGCAACACUAUUUUGGGAUGGUGUCAACACAGGAUGACGGGUAAAGAAUGUCAUUUUGAGUCAUAUAGGUCUGAA
rnacentral:misc_RNA from 1 species